rnacentral:lncRNA from 10 species
AUAGAGCUCUAAUUGUGUGCAAGGAACUGUGCAAGAUGCUAGGGCAACAGCAGUCAACAAAGGAGACACAUAGUCCUAGCCUCAUGGAAGGUACAGCCAAGCAGGGGUGACACAUGGUAGGUCAGUGCUGGGAAAGACAAACAUGGUAUGCUGAGGACAUGGAACAAUCAAGGGCAUCCAGGCAGAGGCUGAGUGGAGGAGGAGUUUGCAAGGCUGUGCCAAGAACAUUUUUCAGGGUAGAAUCUACCCCCCAGGCAGAGAUGUGGGGAAUAAAGACCAAAAUGGAAACAGCACUGGCCAAGUCUGAGAGCCACGUGAAAAUAGCACAGCACACUUAGGGAUCUGGGGAUUUGGGAUUGCUGGAGUCAAAGUGUUGAGUGUGAGGGGGUAGAAAAGCAUAAUUAUAUGUAGAGUCAGUGCCUGAACAGUUCAGUCAGAAAAGCACAUUUUUCAGGCUAAGAAACUUGGCCUUGGUCCUGCUUAGGUUUUACAGACAAGAGAUUGCCUUUCUGAAAGCUUACCCUGGAGACUGUGUAGCUAGAUGAUGGGCUGAGAGAAAAGGAGGAAGGUGGAUAUAAGAAAGCUCCUGCAAAAAUGCAGGUGAAAAAUGAUGAGGACCUCCACUGGGGACGGGCAGGAGAGGGCAGAUUUAAGGGAUGUUUGGUGAAACUUUCAAGGGGAACUGCUGAUGGACUGGCAAGAGGAAUCCCAGCAGGAUCAGGUGGCUAUGCUCUGGACGGUUUGCAUAACUGUCAGUGGCACCAUUCACUUCACAUUGUAGUUAUAAUCUCUGUCAACAGUGGCACCUGGAGAUGUGCAGUACACAGCCUAGGCAAUCUUACAGAGAAAUCCUGACUCCAAACUCAUCUGUUUCUAUUACUUUUGAGCUUUGGAGGGAUUUAAAGUUUUUCUUUCUCUUAGGGUUUUAUUUAAGCCAUUUUCUUUUGGAAAAAUCUCAGCUAGCAUCAUAGAGUGCGGUAGGAAAGGAAUGUAAUUGGGAAAUGAUAUUGUCUUAUUUUUCUAUAUAAUUUAGCCACCUUUACACUUAAGAUGGCAGACACGGGAAUUACAUUUUUUUAAUGGAGUUUCCCUCUUGUCACCCAGGCUGGAGUGCAGUGGUGUAAUCUCGGCUCACUGCAACCUCCACCACCCAGGUUCAAGCAAUUCUCCUGCCUCAGCCUCCCGAGUAGCUGGGAUAACAGGCGUGCGCCACUACGGCCAGCUAAUUUUUGUAUUUUUAGUAGAGGCGGGGUUUUACCAUGUUGACCAGGCUGGCCUCGAACUCCUAACCUCAGGUGAUCCACCUGCCUCAGCCUCUCAAAGUGCUGGGAUUACAGGUGUGAGCCACCGUGUCUGGCCAGGAGCUAAACAAUUUGAGGUCAAGAUGUGGCGUUAACAAUGUUCCCACAGAUCACAGAAACACAAGUGGACAGCAGAGGCCCUUCUUGCACUAGUACUUCUACCUGGAUGGGGCCUCAGAGGUCUGACUUUCCACAGGAGAAGAAAAUCUUUGAGAGCCAAUUUUACUGCUGGGUGCUGAUGUUUUCCUCAACUGUCUAAAUAAAUCUUCAGCUAAUAAACAUUUCAAUAAAUCUGUUCUGGUGCCUUCCAUUCCUUAAACUAUACAGCCAGAGAAGAUGGAACAUAUGAGCUUGGAUUCUGUCUCUGUAGCGGAUGCAGGGAUAUAAGUGAGCUGAGUUUUACACAUUCCAAAGGGGCCACUGAUCAGGUACUUCGGGAUGCACUCCAAGUGUCCUGGCUAAUUAAGAUAAACCAAAGAUUAGAAGGCAUUUCUGGCUGGGUGCAGUGGCCCCUUUUCUUUCCUUAAAUGGGGAUCUCCCACUGCCUUGGGAACGAGAUAAUCAAACCAAUUAGAGCUAUAUGUAAAAUGAAAGUAAAAUAGGCCUGAAGGGCUGGCCCACAAGGACCCCAUAAGAGCCCAGAUUCCUUAACUUCCACUUUCAUGUCAGAGCAGCCCCACUGCAUACCUCUUUUGUGCUGUGUCCCAGAUAAAGGAGUACAUCAUGUCACCGAGUUCUAAGUAAGUGGGGUGCACUGAAACUUUCAGUAGAAGCAAGAUGCAAACACAUACAAACAUGUAUGAUGUUAUUUAUUUUCUCACUGGCACUGGCCUACUGCACUUAAACAUUUCCAUCAGACUCAAAAAAUAAUUUUAUUUCAGAAAAAAUAUUUUACCUAUUUAGCUUUUGUUUAUACUGUUUUAUUAUUAAUAGGUUUUUUUUUCUUUUUUUAAGAGAUAGGAUCUUGCUGUGUUGCCCAGGCUGAUCUCCAAUUCCUGGCUUCAAGCAAUCCUCCUGUCUCAGCCUCCUGUGCAGCUGGGACUAUAGGUAUAUGCCACUGCUCCCAGCUUGACUUAAUGGAAUGUGUUUUUAUUCACCCAUUGGAAAAGCCUUUGCUACAUAUUAAUACAAACUUCUCAUUAAUAAACCCUCCUUUUUUUUUUUUUUGAGACGGAGUCUCGCUCUGUCGCUCAGGUACGAUCUCGACUCACUGUAACCUCCUCCGCCUGGGGUCAAGCAAUUCUCCCGUCUCAGCCUCCUGAGUACCUGGGAUUACAGGUGCACGCCACCAUGCCCAGCCACUAAUAAAUCCUUCUUUAAGUAAGAAAAUAAUAUAACAUGAGCAUAACUUUGCAUGAAUUUUAAUGUCCUGGAGGCUUGUUGCUUUGUAUAAAGUGCAGGUCAGUAAAAAUUAAAAUGAGGUAAUGUGGUAUAAUACGAUUAACCCAGUAAGGGUACAAUAAAGGAUGGCUAUUAUUAUUAUUAUAUUGUUAUUAUUAUUUUGAGACAGAGUUUUGCUCAGUCACCCAGGUUACAGUGCAAU